rnacentral:lncRNA from 1 species
GUAUUACUGACCGAAGGAGAGAAGAUGGUGCUUCAUUACCAUGGUGGAGGAAAACAAGGUUCUUGAGAAGCUGUUACACUCAUGCAUGGGGUAGGAAAGACUAUCUGACCCAAGCGGAGAGUGGGAUGGUGAUUGUCGCUGAAAUUUCAUCGAAGGAAAGACGUUGGAAGUAAGGGAUGAAAAAUGAACAAUUCUCAGAAUUGGGAAGGUUGCUAUCAAAAUCCAUUUCAAAUGAGAGAAGGGCAUUUCCAUCUUUUGUAACGACAAGCUAAUGAUGUCAGUACUUACUUGAACAUCGGGGCCA